UACAGAGGGGGCAAGCGUUGUUCGGAAUUACUGGGCGUAAAGGGCGCGUAGGCGGCCUUCUAAGUCGAACGUGAAAUCCCCGGGCUCAACCCGGGAACUGCGUCCGAGACUGGAAGGCUCGAAUCCGGGAGAGGGAUGUGGAAUUCCAGGUGUAGCGGUGAAAUGCGUAGAUAUCUGGAGGAACAUCGGUGGCGAAGGCGGCAUCCUGGACCGGUAGUGACGCUGAGGCGCGAAAGCUAGGGGAGCAAACAGG
rnacentral:rRNA from 1 species